rnacentral:lncRNA from 1 species
AAGAUCCAUUUGUCUAUCUGCUUGUUUGUCUGUCUGUCUAGAUGGAUGGAUGAAUGAAUCAAGCAAACUCUACUACAAACAAAAUUUGACAACUAGGCCAUUUGAAAGCCUUAUUUCCUGCACUUAACUAUGGGCUCCCCACUCAACUGUUUCUCUGCUGGAACUUGUUGUCACCAUCAAGACCUGGACCUCUCAACUUCAACUGAUCGUCUUCAAAUGUUGCAAGAUGCCCAGUAAACCUCUACCCUGGUACCAACAAGCAAAACAAAGGAUGAAAACGCUCACUUUCCAGAAGCAAACAGAAUGCAAAAUCUCUCCGUUCCUAGAAAUGUCAAAGCUCUAGAAAUGAGUGUCUAUUCUCCCUAAAUCCCUAGGUACCUGGCCAGGUUUAGCUCUUUCUUUACGAUGUCUGGUCCCCAGAAAAAAAAAAAAAAAAAAAAAAAAAAAGUCUGCCAGCUUUUCACAGAAACCUUCCAUGGUUGUUCCUGUAACCUCAACUACUCUAGAUCCAUCGAUUCUAAUAAGUCUCCUUUUUCCAUAGUAUCUGUGAAUUAUGCCUCAGCUGGAUAUGUUAACUAAUGGGCUUGACAUUCCUAGUUAUGUUGAAUGAAAUCAGAAGUGUAGCGUUUUGGUGACUUAAGGUGACAAACUUUCCAUGCCUGUCACACCAGAAGACCCAAGAGCU